rnacentral:rRNA from 1 species
UACGUAGGGUCCGAGCGUUGUCCGGAAUUAUUGGGCGUAAAGGGCUCGUAGGUGGUUUGUCGCGUCGGGAGUGAAAUCCCUGGGCUUAACCCAGGGCCUGCUUUCGAUACGGGCAGACUAGAGGCAUUCAGGGGAGAACGGAAUUCCGGGUGGAGCGGUGAAAUGCGUAGAGAUCCGGAGGAACACCGACGGCGCAGGCAGCGUCCUGGCCGCUUGCUGACACUGAGGCACGAAAGCUGGGGGAGCAAACAGG